UUUCUUCCCAAAAGGCCUCAUACUAGUUGUAGAGAUUGCAUCCAGAGCCAGCCAUAUGGCCAAGCAAGCAAAGCACAUGCUUGCGGCAAUCUAAGAUCAUGCCAAGAUCGAUUGUACCCAACAAUCUCCCCUUCAAACCAAAGACCACGAACUUGGGCCUCCUUCUUGAGGCACAUUCUUAUCGUGUCAUGUUUGAGAGAUUUUCCCACACCGAUCAUAGCCCAAGCCCUAAGUCCACUUUUUCAACCUAGGCUCUGAUACCAUUUAAUGGGCUUUCUAAACCCAUUCCAACUUCCAUUUAGUAUGAUAUUGUCCUCUUUAGGCUUAUAUCCUCAAGCCCGCAAGGAUUUGUUAUUGGGUUUCUUUCCAAAAUGCCUCAUACUAGUUGUAGUUGGACUUGGCUUAUAUAAUAGAAACUCUUUUUCUAAACUUUCGAUGUGGGACCUUUGCUUUGUACCCAACAGUCCAACCUUCCAGAUGAGUUAGUGGAGGAGAUUCUUUGUAGGGCUCCCGUGACAU